GCCUGACUCGGCCCGGCGGGGCUGGCGGGGCUGGGGCCGCACCAGGCCGAGGCGCAGUGUAAAAAUAACCUGCUCCAGAAAAGAAGUAUGGAAGUAGUCUCACCAGGCCCUGCACAUUGUUAACCUCUGGGAAUGAACUUGGAGAACCAUGGAUCUGGUGCCUUGGAUACUGAGAGGUUUGACAACAGGGAAGUCGGAUCCAAGGAUCAUUGCGAGUUUAAGAGACGGGAUCUCUUCAGCCAUGCCUUCCUACCCAACCCUCCAGGAGCGGUGGAAAAGAUAGUGCCACGGAGGAAUGUCCUGGGUUUGAGCCCAUUAUGCCACUAACCAGCUCUUUGUAUCCUUGAAUAAACUCCCUUAGUCUCCCC
ensembl:lncRNA